UCAUCACGAUUGUUCUUCUGCUCUUGAUCUGUUUCUUGCUGCGUAAAAGGAUCUUCAGGUAUUUUCUGAAAGCAGAGACGUACGUUCAUUGCAGUGAUUCAGAAAUCAGGGAUCCUGAAUCUGCUGUCCAGAAGAAGCUCAGAUCUGAUGAAUCUGAUUCACUGAAUCAUACUGAAUCUGAAUAGAUCAACGGCUCGUGUCCAGAGGAUCAUCCUGUCAUCUCACUGAACGUCAUUCAUUAAUGGUUUCUGUGUGAUAUUUCACUUGCUGUAAUUGGUACUGGUUCUGCCUAAUAUAAUAUGUAGCUGAAAUAA